UACGUAGGCAGCGAGCGUUGUUCGGAGUUACUGGGCGUAAAGGGUGUGUAGGCGGUUCUUUUAAGUUUGGCGUGAAAUCUCCCGGCUCAACCGGGAGGGUGCGUCGAAUACUGAGGGACUAGAGUACGGGAGAGGAAAGUGGAAUUCCUGGUGUAGCGGUGAAAUGCGUAGAUAUCAGGAGGAACACCGGUGGUGUAGACGGCUUCUGGACCGUAACUGACGCUGAGACACGAAAGCGUGGGUAGCAAACAGG
rnacentral:rRNA from 1 species